rnacentral:lncRNA from 1 species
GCUGGGUUGUUAGCACUAGUGCUGGAUGGUUGCAUAGCUUCCGUAAAUAUUGCAAUGCCUGAAAUACAUGACCUGUAGCUUUAAGCUUUGGUUUUUCAGUUUCUUCGCGUAAUGAAAUUGAAGAAACUGUUUCAUCAAUGUCACAUUUGGCACGAGACUUGGCAAAGUCUUCAUAAAGCUGAACCUGUAAAGGACUAAGAACACAGUAAUAAUCUUGAAUAAUUUUGGGUGGAAGGUCUUGCAGUACAUCC